UUGACAGAUGUCUCUGUUUUUUGCUGUUGCUUUUGUGUGUGUGUGUGUCUGUUUUGCUUUCUGAACCUUUGUGUUUUAUUAUUAAGGCCUAGAAUGUUUUUAGAUGAGGCUGGAGAAGUAUCUGAUUUGCUUUUGUCCUAUUCUAAAGAUGAUUCAUUGGGUUCUUGUGAAAUGAAACAAGUGGGAAGUUGUCCCUCUCACCAUCCAAUCACUAUUUGGAGUUUCUGACUUGUAUAUUGAACAAGAUAAUGGGAAGCCUGUGCUAGUCUUAUUUGCUUAUGUCACAGUGAGAAAUCUGGCUAGACUAAACUUAUUUCAGUGAAAUACUUUUUAAUUGUUGUUUUUAUCAGCCUAGAAAUAAGAAAGGCUCUAGAGCCUCUUUAUGUCCUCUGUGUGUUGUAGACAGUUUACCUCCCUUGCACAACUGCCUUUUUCCCCCCCUCUGCCCUUCCACCCCACCCCCCAGAACAACUUUCUUUGUACACAUGCAAGUUUGUCUUAAAGAAGUUUCACAGUAGACAGUUCUGUAACUGAGCAGUGAAUGCAGUGGUGGCAGGUGAUUAUGUUCAUGGCCUGCUAGUGCUUGUUCUCAAGUAUUAUAGUCAAUGUUAUUGGAAUGAAGAGUACAUGGGGCCAUGCUCUUGAUGCUUUUUUUUUUUAAUUAGCUUUGUUGUGUGAAUGCUGAUAUCAUUAUAAUUAUGUUUCAUUUAUUUAAAAAAAAAAUAUACAAAACUAAUGGCAGAGUGUGAAUGGUGUUUAGUGGUGGACGCAUUUUGUACAUGACUUAAUAAAGGCAAUUCUUACAA